rnacentral:rRNA from 2 species
UUAACGCUGAGGUGUGAUGACGAGGCACUACGGUGCUGAAGUAACAAAUGCCCUGCUUCCAGGAAAAGCCUCUAAGCAUCAGGUAACAUCAAAUCGUACCCCAAACCGACACAGGUGGUCAGGUAGAGAAUACCAAGGCGCUUGAGAGAACUCGGGUGAAGGAACUAGGCAAAAUGGUGCCGUAACUUCGGGAGAAGGCACGCUGAUAUGUAGGUGAAGCCCCUGCGGGUGGAGCUGAAAUCAGUCGAAGAUACCAGCUGGCUGCAACUGUUUAUUAAAAACACAGCACUGUGCAAACACGAAAGUGGACGUAUACGGUGUGACGCCUGCCCGGUGCCGGAAGGUUAAUUGAUGGGGUUAGCGGCAACGCGAAGCUCUUGAUCGAAGCCCCGGUAAACGGCGGCCGUAACUAUAACGGUCCUAAGGUAGCGAAAUUCCUUGUCGGGUAAGUUCCGACCUGCACGAAUGGCGUAAUGAUGGCCAGGCUGUCUCCACCCGAGACUCAGUGAAAUUGAACUCGCUGUGAAGAUGCAGUGUACCCGCGGCAAGACGGAAAGACCCCGUGAACCUUUACUAUAGCUUGACACUGAACACUGGUCCUUGAUGUGUAGGAUAGGUGGGAGGCUUUGAAGCGUGGACGCCAGUCUGCGUGGAGCCGUCCUUGAAAUACCACCCUUUAAUGGCUGGUGUUCUAACGUAGACCCGUAAUCCGGGUUGCGGACAGUGUCUGGUGGGUAGUUUGACUGGGGCGGUCUCCUCCCAAAGAGUAACGGAGGAGCACGAAGGUUAGCUAAUCCUGGUCGGACAUCAGGAGGUUAGUGCAAUGGCAUAAGCUAGCUUGACUGCGAGAGUGACGGCUCGAGCAGGUGCGAAAGCAGGUCAUAGUGAUCCGGUGGUUCUGAAUGGAAGGGCCAUCGCUCAACGGAUAAAAGGUACUCCGGGGAUAACAGGCUGAUACCGCCCAAGAGUUCAUAUCGACGGCGGUGUUUGGCACCUCGAUGUCGGCUCAUCACAUCCUGGGGCUGAAGUAGGUCCCAAGGGUAUGGCUGUUCGCCAUUUAAAGUGGUACGCGAGCUGGGUUUAGAACGUCGUGAGACAGUUCGGUCCCUAUCUGCCGUGGGCGCUGGAGAAUUGAGGGGGGCUGCUCCUAGUACGAGAGGACCGGAGUGGACGCAUCACUGGUGUUCGGGUUGUCAUGCCAAUGGCACUGCCCGGUAGCUAAAUGCGGAAAAGAUAAGUGCUGAAAGCAUCUAAGCACGAAACUUGCCCCGAGAUGAGUUCUCCCUGAGACUUUAAGUCUCCUGAAGGAACGUUGAAGACGACGACGUUGAUAGGUCGGGUGUGUAAGCGCAGCGAUGCGUUGAGCUAACCGAUACUAAUGAACCGUGAGGCUUAACCUUACAACGCCGAAGGUGUUU